GUACACGCUGUGACUAGCAUAUCAAUAAGCGGAGGAAAAGAAACUAACAAGGAUUCCCCUAGUAACGGCGAGUGAAGCGGGAAGAGCUCAAAUUUGAAAUCUUAAAGGGUUUCCCUUUACGAAUUGUAGUUUAAAGAAGUGUUUUCUGUUGAGGUUUUGGUAAAAGUUCUUUGGAAUAGGACAUCAUAGAGGGUGAGAAUCCCGUAUUUGACCUUUACUUUCAACUUUGUGAUACACUUUCAAAGAGUCGGAUUGUUCGGGAAUGCAGUCCAAAAUGGGUGGUAAAUUUCAUCUAAAGCUAAAUAUUGGCGAGAGACCGAUAGCGAACAAGUACCGUGAGGGAAAGAUGAAAAGAACUUUGAAAAGAGAGUUAAACAGUACGUGAAAUUGUCAAAAGGGAAGCGUUUGACACCAGUGUUGUUUUUCUGAAAAUCAAUUAAAGAACUGUUUAUGCUAAGCUGUUUAGACUUUAUCAGCUAUCUGUUUAGUUUUGAGCUUUUCUUUAAUGCACUUUUCAGUUAACAAGUCAACAUCAAUUUCUUUUGCUGUAAAAAAGCUUGAGGAAGGUGGCUUGAGAUUCGUCUUAAGUGUUUAUAGCCUCUUGCCUAUGCAGUCGGAGAGAUUGAGGUCUGCAGCGUAGAUCCUUCGGGGCUAAAUGCAUUUGUGCUAAGUUAUAGCAUUUUAUAGACAACUUGUUGACUAUGAUUUGUCUUGUAGCUUACUCGCUUAUGUUAUUUUACCUACGCUUAGGAUGUUGAUAUGCAUGACUGAUAU
rnacentral:rRNA from 1 species